rnacentral:rRNA from 1 species
AGGACGAACGCUGGCGGCGUGCUUAACACAUGCAAGUCGAGCGGAAAGGCCCUUCGGGGUACUCGAGCGGCGAACGGGUGAGUAACACGUGAGUAAUCUGCCCCUAGCUCUGGGAUAGCUCCGGGAAACCGGGAUUAAUACCAGAUACGACCACUUUAGACAUCUGUUGUGGUGGAAAGAAUUUUGGUUAGGGAUGAGCUCGCGGCCUAUCAGCUUGUUGGUGAGGUAACGGCUCACCAAGGCGACGACGGGUA